AUUGAACGCUGGCGGCAGGCCUAACACAUGCAAGUCGAACGGUAACAGGAAGAAGCUUGCUUCUUUGCUGACGAGUGGCGGACGGGUGAGUAAUGUCCGGGAAACUGCCUGAUGGCGGGGGAUAACUACUGGAAACGGUAGCUAAUACCGCAUAACGUCGCAAGACCAAAGAGGGGGACCUUCUGGCCUCUUGCCAUCGGAUGUGCCCAGAUGGGAUUAGCUAGUAGGUGGGGUAACGGCUCACCUAGGCGACGAUCCCUAGCUGGUCUGAGAGGAUGACCAGCCACACUGGAACUGAGACACGGUCCAGACUCCUACGGGAGGCAGCAGUGGGGAAUAUUGCACAAUGGGCGCAAGCCUGAUGCAGCCAUGCCGCGUGUAUGAAGAAGGCCUUCGGGUUGUAAAGUACUUUCAGCGGGGAGGAAGGGAGGAAAGUUAAUACCUUUACUCAUUGACGUUACCCGCAGAAGAAGCACCGGCUAACUCCGUG
rnacentral:rRNA from 1 species